rnacentral:rRNA from 1 species
UCCGUAGGCGGUGUGGCAAGUCGGAAGUGAAAUCUCUGGGCUUAGCCCAGAGGCUGCUUCCGAAACUGCCGUGCUAGAGUGUGAGAGAGGCGAGUGGAAUUGCGGGUGUAGCGGUGAAAUGCGUAGAUAUCCGCAGGAACAUCCGAGGCGAAAGCGGCUCGCUGGAUCACAACUGACGUUGAGGGACGAAAGCUAGGGGAGCAAACAGGAUUAGAUACCCUGGUAGUCCUAGCCCUAAACCAUCAGGACUUGGGGUUUGCCCUGUACGGGGCAAGUCCCGUAGCUAACGCGUUAAGUCCUGCGCCUGGGGAGUACGGUCGCAAGGCUGAA